CUCACGCACGUACGCACACCUGGAUGGACUGUGGGCUGGGAUCAGAGGAGCAGCAGAAUCAGAGGAGGUGAGAAGUUGAAGUCAAUGUGGUUGGAUAAACUUCCAACAGGUGACACCGCUGCUCCAAUUUCACAGGUAUCAUCCCACAUAUGCCUGAGGACAUCCUGAAAACAUCCUGAGGACAUGCCAGAAUGAUUUCCAUUGGGCGGAAAAGACACGGACCAUCCCUGAGAAGCACAGUCGCGAAUCUGGGACCAGAAAGAGGUACCGGGGCUCUGGAUGCCAGAAACCCCAGUGCGCAGGAUUACUCAGAUGUUGGAGAGGUUUCCUUAACCCACGCUGGCGAUGCCUCAGGAUGUUUUCCAGGAGGUCACAUAAGAGCCACAUGCCACAGAUGGAGGAGAACCUGAAUGAGAGCCCCUGCUCUACUUCCCUGAAGGAAAGGAGGAAGCCCCAUGCCAUCAGCACGAAGCCGCGCUGGCUCAGGGUGAGUGCAGGUACCAGGGA